rnacentral:rRNA from 1 species
GUGCUUAACACAUGCAAGUCGAACGAGAAAUCUUUAGCUUGCUAGAGAAAGUAAAGUGGCGCACGGGUGAGUAACGCGUGGGUAAUCUGCCUCCGAAUCGGGGAUAACAUUGCGAAAGCGAUGCUAAUACCGGAUAAAAUCUGGUUGGCUUCGGUGAACCGGAUCAAAGGUGGUCUCUUUAUAAAAGCUACCGUUUGGAGAUGAGCUCGCGUACCAUUAGCUAGUUGGUGAGGUAAAGGCUCACCAAGCCUAUGACGGGUAGCUGGUCUGAGAGGAUGGUCAGCCAGACUGGGACUGCGACACGGCCCAGACUCCUACGGGAGGCAGCAACUAGGAAUUGUGCGCAAUGGACGAAAGUCUGACGCCGCGACAUCGCGUGGAGGAUGAAGGUCUUCGGAUUGUAAACUCCUUUUCUUACCGAACAAGUUCUGAGUGUAGGUAAGGAAUAAGUGCCUGCUAACCACGUGCCAGAAGCAUCGGUAAUACGUGGGGCACGAGCGUUAUCCGGAUUUACUGGGCGUAAAGAGAAGCGUAGGCGGCUCGAUAAGUUUGGUGUUAAAUCUUCCGGCUCAACCGGAAACAAGUACCGAAAACUAUCGAGAUUGAGUCGAGUAGGGAAGAGGGGAAUUCCUGGUGGAGCGGUUAAAUGCGUAGAUAUCAGGAGGAAUACCAAGGGCGAAGGCACCUCUUUGGACUCGUACUGACGCUGAGGCUCGAAAGCGUGGGUAGCAAAACGGAUUAGAUACCCGUGUAGUCCACGCCGUAAACGAUCCCUGUUAGAUGU